GCAUGCUGAAAAAGCAAACAGAUUUAUUUGAUUUCAUUCAUUUUCUUUUAUAACAAAAAUUGACAUAGUGCUUACAUGCCAGAACCCUCUUCUAAGCACUUUGCAAAUAUAACUCGUUUCAUUUGCAUGACAAUCCUCUAAGGUGGGUACUCUUAUUAUUAUCAUCCCCAUCUUACAGAUGAGGAAACUGAGGCGCAGAGAGGGGAUGCGACCUCCCCAAGGUCACACAGCAGUGCACUUGGGCAGUGGGGCUGCAGAAUCCACUCUUAAACUCUACCCGACAAUGCUUGUCUGUGCUCGCCGUCCUUCUGGCCUCUCUUCUUAAUGAUGGAAGAUAUCACACUAGCAGUUGGGGGAUUGAGGCUGAGUGACGGGAGUGGAAGGUUUGAGAAGAGAGGAGAGCCACCAGCCGCCGCCUUGGAGAGGAGACCUUACUAGAAAAACAGGAGGGCUACGGGUUUGAGGUUUGUGGUGCUGGGUUUGCUGUGAAAUCCGGGAGGCUGGCUGUUUGCCUAUUUUCUGCAUCGCGGUGAGGAACGGCUUUGGCAGGAGCAGGAGGAGAAAAGUGGCCCCUCCUCAGCUCACCGUCCAUCUGCUGAUCCUCCCUGCUCCCUGAGCCCUGGAAACUGGCGCCGGCUGGCCCGUCUGUCCUUCCAGCCAACCGCCUGGAUCCAAGUGAGCUAAGCUCGGGGGACCGAGCAUGUCCCCAGGCCGCGUGGGAGGGAAGGGCCUGGAAGGAUGUCACAGACCAGAGUCCAAAGGAAAUGAAUUCCAUGCCAGGAACGGGGAGCCCAGGGCAGGGGGCGGGGAGCUGUGGGGCUGGAGGGAAUGUGAGGGCCUCCAAGGUGGCCGGGGAGGUUUCUCUCUCAGCGCCAGAGAAAGCAGGGCCUGUGGCCGGUCCCCUCCCGCAGUCCCGGCGAGUCACGGAAAGACCCAGGGUUCUGCGGUGAGCCGGCCCUGAGCUGGAAUCUCAGCGCUGUGGUUUCUUGGCUGGAUGCGACUUUAGGGACUCUGAUGGGCUGAGCUCCGUAUAAAUCCUCAGAAUGUCGCUUCACAGAUGUGAUCAAGUUAAGGAGAGUGAGACAGGGAGCUGAUCCUGGAUGAUCCAGGCGGCCCAGUGUGAUCCAAAGUGUCGUCAUAAAGAAAAGAGGGAGGCAGGAGGGCUGACGCAGAGACGGAGGUGCCAGGAGGGAGCAGAGACUGACGGACGCGAGAAAGGGCCCUGAGCCAGGAGUCCAGCGGCCUCUGGAAACUGGAAAGAGCAAGAAAACGAUUCUUCGCUGGAGCCUCCAGAAGGAAUCAUUCUAGACUUCCAGGCUCCAGAACUUAAGACGAUAAAUGCGUGUCGUUUGAAGCCACUGAGUUUGUGGUGAUCUGUUACAGUCGCAGAAACUUGCUGGGGUAAGUUUCUUCAUCCCCCCCGAGCCUCAGUUUUCUCAGUCCAUGAAUUGGGGCUCACUGACUCCUCACGGCGUUGUCACCCCCGUGGAUGCACGGAUGCAUGGACGCACUGGACAUGCAUAGGAUGGUGGCCGGCACCCAGUAAAUGCUCGAGAAACAUCAGCUCUCCUGCCCUCAAAAUGGAGAUAAACCGUUCGUUUAUCUGACAAACAUUCAUGGAACGCCUACAAUGUCACGGCCAGCGUUCUGAGUGCUGGAGAUGCCGCGUGAACAAGACAGGCCGGCACUCUGGCCCUCGGGAGCUUCCAUUCCAGAGAGAGAGAAGAACAAGAGAAAUGAGGACACACUGUGGGAUUUCGGACGGUGAAGAUCAUGGAGUCACAGAUUCCCAGAGGUUGUCCCCCAGGCUGUAAAUUCCACACCCUACGACGAGGAGUCCUCCUCACCCCCUACAGGAUGCUCUGCUUCCUCCUUAUGUCGGACUCUCCCGUUCUUCAUCUCCUUCAUGACCCUGAACUCCAGCGGUUACUAUGGUAACUCAACCGCCAUGCCCGGCCCCCUUCUUUACCACCCGCCUCUGCUUCCAAGGCUGAAAACCAGGGACUCAGUUUCCCAGCAUCCUUUGCUACCAGUGACAGUCAUGUGACAGCAUGGUGGCCAAUGAGAUGAAAGCAGAAGUCAGCUGGGAGGCUUCUGGGAAGCCUUGGUGGUUCUUCCCUUCUUCCUGCCUUGAAUGUGGAUGUGAUGGUCAGAGUUGUGGCAGCCAUCCUGUGGUCAUGAGGCAACAGGCACGAAAGUCAACAUGCUAAGGGUGGUGAGGCAGAGAGACAGAAAGAACCCGAGAUGUCAGCUGUCAGUGAAUUAACGCCUGAAACCUCCUUCUUCCAGAUUUUUUUUGUGAGGGAAACUGGGCCCAGAGAGCCAUGGGAUGGUACUCAACAUGUCACGGACCGUUGCUGGAGGUGCCAGGACAGGACUGCAGGAGGGGACAGUGUGAGAUCUCAGACCUUAAAACCAGAGAGAGAGGCGGCCUCCAUUCUUUUUUGGGGAAAAUAAGAAUUUGGGGACUAUGAGUUUAAAAUGUGCCAGGAUCUCUUCCUGAAGAAAAACUUGGUCUCAGAUUCAAAAUAUAAAACCAACAGGCGGAGACACGCAGGGAGGGCAGACUCGGAGAAGCAUUGGAAUUCCCAGGUGUCCUUUGGGUGCCAAACAAAGAAACAAGCGAUAAAACCACACUGCUCUGCCCACAUUGUAUUCCCAAGAACCAACUCUGCCUUUUUUACAGAAGCCUGAGCUUCUGUAGUUUAAAAGUAAAAUAGCCAUGCCCAGUGGUGUAGCAGUUAAGUUUGUGCACUCCAUUUUGGUGGCCCAGGGUUCAUGGGUUCAGAUCCUGGCUGUGAACCUAGCACCACUCAUCAAGCCAUAGUGUGGUGGCAGUCCUGCAUACAAAAUAGAAGAAGAUUGGCACCGAUGUUAGCUCAGGGCCAAUCUUCCUCAGCAAAAAAAAAAAAAAAAAAAGUAAAAUAGCCCAGUAAAGACAGCCUCUUAGUUUGAUGUGAUCAACACAUAGGGAAGGUGAUUCCUAUCAGUUCACCCUGGAAAGACACUACAUGAAUUUUAUACCAGAACCUGCAUGUGGCUGCGCAGCCCAGAGCUGGGGAAGGAGUGUGUGUCUCUCCAUCAGGUCGACUUCACCUGGGGGACCCAGAGGCCUCAUUUCUCCACUUGUAUCAGUCAGUCGGGGUAACGUUAGCUGCUGUAACAAACAAGCUCGAAAAUGUGAAACGGCUCAAACAAUGACAGAAGUUGAUUGUUGCUCGUGGAAAGUCGUGGUUUUUCUUGAUCAGCCGGUGGUUUUCCUCAAGGUGUGACUCAGAAACCCGGGUUCCUGCCACCGCCUGGCUCCUCCAUCUCCAACGCUUGGCUUCCAAGGUGGCCCCAGGGGUCGUCUCUGUUCCAGUCGGCUUGAAAGAGAGAAGUGAAUAGAGGGUGAUGGUGGGAGGCUUUAACCGGCCAGCCCGGGUAGUGUGCACGUCCUUUCCAGUCAUGUCCUGUUGCUUAGAACUCAGUCACGUGGUCACACCUAAUGGAAGGGAGGCUGGGGGUGUUGUGCAGAGCUGUGCAUAGCGGCACAAGGAAACAGUCCUGCAGGACCACCAGCCUCUGCUGGUCUUCAUAGUCCUGAAAUAGUAAUAAUAAGAUGCAACUACAGGGGCCGGCCCAGUGGCGCAGCAGUUAAGUGCGCAUGUUCUGCUUCUUGGCAGCCUGGGGUUCGCCGGUUCAGAUCCCGGGUGCGGACAUGGCACCGCUUGGCAAGCCAUGCUGUGGCAGGCGUCCCACAUAUGAAGUGGAGGAAGAUGGGCACGGGUGUGAGCUCAGGGCCAGUCUUCCUCAGCAAAAAGAGGAGGAUUGGUGGCAGAUGUUAGCUCAGGGCCAAUCUUCCUCAGGAAAAAAAAAAAGAUGCAACUACAAAAAUAGGAAAAUGGUGGUGGUGUGGUGAACUGUGAUGUUGGUCUAGCCAGCAUCCUUCUUCCAGCAGCUCCAGCCUUCAUGUUCCUCAGGAAACCACGCCUCUCGCUGUCUCUUCCAUGUGAUUCCCACGGCACUGACUCCAUUUCCGUCCCUGGGUCAGCACACGACCCACGCACAGUCAAGCAACGCUCAAGCUGGGACUUUUCCUGGAGUGACUGAGACACGGAGGCUGUCUUUCCUCUUCAUACUGGAUGAAUCUGGGAAGACAGGAGCCUUGAGCGGCUGGGAGCCUACCUGUGAAAAGAGCCAACACAGAAGAAACUCUAGAGUCAGAGGGAGACAGAUUCUGAGGACAUUAUCUCGCACCUGGAUUCAGCCAUGCCUGAAGUCAACCAUCCCUGAGUUAUGUUAGCCAAUAAAAUUCUUUAUGAAAAAUUUUAUUUCUCUUAAGCCAAUUUGGACUGUAGCUCUAUUAUUUGCAACCAAAUGAUGUCCAACUAAUAAAUUUAUUGACAUUCCCAAUACUACUACUGGCCAUAAUAAUAAAAAGUUACAUAAUGCUUACCGCAUGCAAGCCACUUAACCUGCAUUAACUCAUUUACCUUUUUUUUUUUUUUUUUUUUUUUGCUGAGGAAGAUUCACCCUGAGCUAACAUCUGUGCCAAUCUUCCUCUUCUUUAUAUGUGGAUCACCGCCUCAGCAUACCUGACGAGUGGUGUAGGUGUAGGUCCACCCCUGGGAUCUGAACCCGUGAACCUGGGCCGCUGAAGUGGAGUGCGCGAACUUAACCACUACACUGUGGGGCUGGCCCCCUGCGAGAACACAUUUAAUCUCCAUGACAACCCUAGGAGGGUCAUUCUAUUAUCCCUGUUUUACGGCAGAGGAUGCUGAGGCUCAGAGAGGUUAAGAAAAGCUGGCAAUGUUCGUACAGCUAGUAAGCAGAGAACUUGAGUCCAAACUCAAGCGUUCUUGGCUGAUUUAUUAGUUACACAUGCAAAAAAUUCAUUGAACUACAAGCCAGACGUUGUUCUAGGCCACUUAGGAUGCAGCAGUGAACAGAAACUAAAAGAAAAUUCCUGCCCUCGUGGAGCUUACAUUCUAGUAGGAGCAGGCAAAUAACAAGCAAAAACCAUAAAUAUGUAAAUGAUACAGUAAGUAAGAAAGUGAAAAGUGGUGAGGAUGUAAGAGGUCGGAGAUGGGGGUAUUUUUUUGGUCAGAUUAUGUCUUAUUGAAAAGGUAACAUUUGAGCAAAGACUUAAAGGAAAUGAGAGAGUAAGUCAUGGAAAUAUCUGAGGCAACAUCAGUUUAGGCAGAGGGAACAGCCAGUGCAAAGGGCCUGAGGCAGCACUGUGCCUACUGCAAUGAAAAAAAAAAAAAGGCCAGAGUAGCCAGGGCAGAGUAAGGAAGACAGAGAGUGAAGGGAGAUGGAGUCAAAGAGGUAAAUAGAAGGCACAAUGAGGAGACCAUGAUGAGAACCUGAGCUUUUACUCUGAGGGGUUCUGAACAGAGAGGGACGUGAUCUGACGUAGGUGUUAACAGGAGCCCUCCGGCUGCAUGUGGGGAAUCUUUUACAGAGGAGCCAGAGGUUGCUAGAUAUAACAAAUAAAAAUACAGGAUGCCCAGGGAAAUUUAAAUUUCAGAUAAACGAGGAGUAAUACUUUAGUGAUAAGCAUGUCUCACACAAUAUUUGGGACAUACUUAUACCAAACAAAAUUGUUUAUCUGCAAUUCAAGUUUCACUGGGUGUCUUAUACUUUUCCGGCAGUCUCACUCCCUGGGGUGGAAACAGGGGGGCCAGUGAGCAAGCUGGGAGGUAGGAAGUGAUGGAGACCAAACUAGGGUAAAAAGUGGGUGGAUUCUGGGUCCCUCCGGAAGGUCGAGCUGAUGAUAUUUCUUAACAGGUCCUGUGUGAUACAUAGGAGUACGCAGGGGUCAAAGGUGACUCCCAUAUCUGGGCCUGAGCACCUGGAAGGAUGGGGUUACCGUGGACUGACAUGGGGAAGAUGAGAGAGGGCGGGUUUGGGGAGAAAUGUAAGGUGUUCCCUCUGGACCGUUGGGUGUGACAUGUCCAUUCGGGACCCAAGUGGGGCUGACAAGAAGCCGCUUGAACCCGCAGUCUGGAAUUUAGGAAACAAGUCCUCCUCUCACGGUGGGCUGCCCUCUUGGACUUCAAGGUCAGGCUCCCCCUGCCAGGUGAAGGGCGAGGGGGCGGUCAGCGGGUGCAAGCCACGACCCAGAAGGUCGUCGUGGCCUCCCCAAGCCGUCCUCCCUCGAACAAGGAGACAGAGGAGACGCCUUCGCUACUUCCCUGGUGUCACAACUUGAAUGGUGUCCAGCGAAAAAGAUAUGUUCAAGUCCUGGCCCCCAGGCCCUCAGAACGUGACUUCAUUUGGAAACCGGGUCUUUGCAGAUUUAAGGUACGUUGAGAUGAGGUCGUGCAGGUCGUGAGAUGAGGUCGUGUAGGUUGAGAGGAGCCCUAAUCCUGUAUGGCUGGUGUCCUUAUAAAAUCUGGACACAGACACGCUCAGAAGAAAGGCGACGUGAAGAUACACGGGGAGAAGACGACCGUGUGGCUGGCGCGAUGCGUCCACGAGCCAAGGAUGGCCGGCAGACACCCGGAGCCGGAAGAGGCCGGGGUAUCCUCCCCAAGAGCCGUGGAUCCAGACUUCCGGCCUCCAGAGCUGCGAGAGAACACACUUCUGUUGUUCUGAACCACUCGAUUGAGGGUGCUUUCUCACGGCGGCCCCUGGAAACGAAUGCACCCGGGAAGCGCUCGUCUUGGUUGGUGGCCUUCUUGACACCUGGUCCCCGAGGGAGGGCGUUGUGAGUUUGGUGACCUGGAACCUUCUCCAAAAGCACAACCAAGAAAGGCCUUGAGCCUGCUCGUUGCGGGUAUGUAGCCUGGAGGUCUGGCUGAGCAGCUUGCAGGCUUCUCUGUGCGACACUGUCCACCCCGCAGUGGUCACCGAGGGCAGCAGGAUGGCCGCUGGUUGAGGGACAAGCUCAGCCAGCCUGGCCUCUCCAGCAUGCACCAGAUCCUUGUGGAAACCUUUUUUCUGCUUUUCCAAGCUCUUGCUGAACUCGAUGAAAGCACCUGCCGAGGCCAGCAGUCGGUGGAUGACGGCCCACUGCUUGUCUUUAUAAAUAAAGUUUUAUUGAGACACUCAUUCAUUUGCAAAUUGUUAUUUACGCCGCCUUCACACCACAAUGGCAGAAAUGAGUAAUUGCAAUGGAGAGUGCACGGUCCCCAAAGCCCAAAAUAGUUACUCUCUGGCCCAUUCCAUAAACAGUCUGCCAACCCCUUGACCUAGACAAGUCUCCCUGAUGGUUCGUAGACCUAAUUCCUUCCACCAUCCUCUGGAAGGAAAACUGGGCUGCUGAGAGUUCUUGGGGGAGUUUUUCACAAGGAUCGACCCCAUCGGUGUGUGUCUGCCCGCUUAGCCAUGAGCAUUUGACAGGACCGGCUCC
rnacentral:lncRNA from 1 species